rnacentral:rRNA from 1 species
AUACGGAGGGUGCAAGCGUUACUCGGAAUCACUGGGCGUAAAGCGCGCGCAGGCGGCUUGAUAAGUUGGAUGUGAAAGCCUACGGCUCAACCGUAGAACUGCAUCCAAAACUGUCAGGCUAGAGUCUGGGAGGGGAAGAUGGAAUUAGUUGUGUAGGGGUAAAAUCCGUAGAGAUAACUAGGAAUACCAAAAGCGAAGGCGAUCUUCUGGAACAGUACUGACGCUGAGGCGCGAAAGCGUGGGGAGCAAACAGGAUUAGAUACCCCGGUAGUCC